AGGUGUUGCAUGGCUGUCGUCAGCUCGUGUCGUGAGAUGUUCGGUUAAGUCCGCUAACGAGCGCAACCCUCGUCGUAUGUUAUAUGUGUCAUACGAGACUGCCGGUAAAAGCCGGAGGAAGGUGAGGAUGAUGUCAAGUCAGCAUGACCUUUAUAUCCAGGGCUACACACACGCUACAAUGGUCUGUACAAUGGGUAGCCAAGCCGCGAGGCGGAGCCAAUCCUGAAAAGCAGGCCUCAGUUCAGAUUGCAGUCUGCAACUCGACUGCAUGAAGCCGGAGUUGCUAGUAACCGCAGGUCAGCAAUACUGCGGUGAAUACCGGUUCCCGGGUCUU
rnacentral:rRNA from 1 species